rnacentral:rRNA from 1 species
ACCCCACAAGCUAGCCCACCCCUUAAAACCAACAAACCUAAUUAAUAACCCCUCAUCCACUACAAGAGCACAAGCAAACCAUUUUUCCACCCUAGUAUAGGAGAUAGAAAAGGACCCAAGGCGCUAUAGAAAAGUACCGCAAGGGAAAGCUGAAAGAGAUAUGAAAAAGCUCAGUCAAGGACCCCAAAGCAGAGAUACAGCCUCGUACCUUUUGCAUCAUGAGUUAGCUAGUAGUACUCAAGCGAAAGGAAUUGUACGUUUGAACCCCCGAAACUUGGCGAGCUACUCCGAGACAGUCUAUUUUAGGACAAACCCGUCUCUGUUGCAAAAGAGUGGGACGAUCUCCGAGUAGAGGUGACAGACCUACCGAGCCUAGUAAUAGCUGGUUUCCUGAGAAUAGAAUAGAAGUUCACCCCCUUGCUCUUCUCCCGCCCACUAAGAUGUAACCGCCAACAGGCUAGGAGCAAGCCAAGGGAGCUAUUCGGUGAAGGUACACCUUCACCGAAAGAAGAUACAACUUUAUUAGGAGGUUAAAGAUCAUAACCCAUAAGGUGUUUACCCAAGUGGGCCUAAAAGCAGCCACCCUGACAGACAGCGUUAAAGCUCAAGUAUGCGCACCCUUAGAUUCCGAUUGAUAUAUCCGCCACCCCUUAACCUAUCAGGACCUUCCAUGCAUAUGGAAAAGAUAAUGCUAACACGAGUAAUAAGAGGGACCGACCCUCUCGAGUGCACCAGUGUACACCAGAUCGAACCCCCACUGAAAAUUAACGCCCCCCAUUACAGAGGGACAAGGGACAACCCACAGACAACUAGACAAGACCCCACCCGACGGAAGCGUUAACCCCACACAGGUGUGCGUCACGAAAGAUGAAAAGGAAGAGAAGGAACUCGGCAAACCAUGGCCUCGCCUGUUUACCAAAAACAUCGCCUCUUGCCCCAACAGUAUAAGAGGUCCCGCCUGCCCUGUGACGAAAGUUUAACGGCCGCGGUAUUUUGACCGUGCAAAGGUAGCGUAAUCACUUGUCUUUUAAAUAGAGACCUGUAUGAAUGGCAUAACGAGGGCUAAGCUGUCUCCUCUCCCCCCAUCAAUGAAAUUGAUCUGCCCGUGCAGAAGCGGGCAUGCUUACAUAAGACGAGAAGACCCUAUGGAGCUUAAGACAAAUGGCGGCCCACGUUAAGACCCCUCCUUUAAGAGGACAGAACCAAGAGGACCCUGCCGCUAUGUCUUUGGUUGGGGCGACUGCGGAGAACCAACAAACCCCCGCGAGGACAAGGGCUGACCCCCUAAAACCAGAGCCACAGCUCUACUUAUCAGAAAUUCUGACCACCCAGAUCCGGCACAGCCGAUCAACGGACCCAGUUACCCUAGGGAUAACAGCGCAAUCCCCUUCUAGAGCCCAUAUCGACAAGGGGGUUUACGACCUCGAUGUUGGAUCAGGACCUCCUAAUGGUGCAGCCGCUAUUAAGGGUUC